AGUUAUCAUUAUAUAUCAUGAUAUGUAUCAUAUAGAUGCCGAAAAAAAUAUUAUAUUAAUAUCACGUGGCAAACAUCGAACGUAGUGAUAUCAUAACGACGUACUUGCUACGUCUGUCAAGAUAGAGUUAAGUGACAUGAAUAUAUAAAAGCCUUAUCAUUUCUUACAACAAAACUUAGACGAUAUUCAGCCCUACACAUAAAUUUGCAGAUUGGAUGGCUUUCACCAAGCGAGUGUUGUACAAUGCCUCUUGCCCCCGAACCAAGUCAAAAGUGGCGUCAAGGAGUCCUGGAUGCUGUCCUUGAAACAUAGAUUUACAGCUUCUUUAAAGUUGAAGCCACCGAUGUAAUGGAAAUAGUUGACCUGAAACAGAAAAGACAGCAUUGUUGUAAAGUUCUAUAUGAAUAUCCUGGAAAGCACGUAAUUGUGCGAUCGAUGCUAUGGGGAACAUCUCUGGUCUCUGGUACUGAAGUACAUUGGUUGGUGUUUUGCACGCACUUGUAGAUAUUCUCCAAGAGUGUAUUCAUUUUCCUGACAACACAAGAUGGUAUAUGUCGUAAUCGGCAUUUCGAAAGGCCUCUGCGUUCCGAGUUCCAAACUCAAAUACAAGCGGCCUUACGAACAGCUAAGGAGCGGCACAGGCACAGAAGACGAGGGACGACGGCAGGAGGACCAAGGAUCCAGAGGGACUUAUGGGACGACGAUCGUGAGAAAGAACAAGAGGAAGAGCCCGAAAAUACAUAAAGAAACAAGAAGGAAAUAAACGGGUAUUUACAGAUGCGACAAUCCACGGUCACAGGAGAGAGGGAUUGCCACAGGAGAGAGGGAUUGCUGCAGGAGAGAGGGAUUCCACAUACAUGCUCACACAUGCACACACAUACACGCACACACACAUCACACGUAUUUCGCAGGGUCACUUGUGAAGUAGCGUGCUGCUCCUACGCCUCACAUUACACACAUACACCACACAUACUCUACCCGAAGAGGGUGGAGCAAAUCGGCACUUUUCAGUGCCACAUUUUUAAGACGUUGACGUUGAUACAUCUGUGUUGCAAUAAACAAUCGGUACUAUUCAGUUCCACUCAAUAAAAGUUUAUAUUAU
rnacentral:lncRNA from 1 species